AGCGAACGCUGGCGGCAGGCCUAACACAUGCAAGUCGAACGAACCUUUCGGGGUUAGUGGCGGACGGGUGAGUAACACGUGGGAACGUGCCUUUAGGUUCGGAAUAACUCAGGGAAACUUGUGCUAAUACCGAAUGUGCCCUUCGGGGGAAAGAUUUAUCGCCUUUAGAGCGGCCCGCGUCUGAUUAGCUAGUUGGUUGAGGUAAUGGCUCACCAAGGCGACGAUCAGUAGCUGGGCUGAGAGGAUGAUCAGCCACAUUGGGACUGAGACACGGCCCAAACUCCUACGGGAGGCAGCAGUGGGGAAUCUUGCGCAAUGGGCGAAAGCCUGACGCAGCCAUGCCGCGUGAAUGAUGAAGGUCUUAGGAUUGUAAAAUUCUUUCACCGGGGACGAUAAUGACGGUACCCGGAGAAGAAGCCCCGGCUAACUUCGUG
rnacentral:rRNA from 1 species